CAGAAUCUGUCCCAAGUAUGAUCUACAGGUUUGGGGAAGACGCUCAACGUUUUGAGCCCUGGGGGAAGCUGUAGACGAAGAUAAUCAGCACAGCCCAAGAAAUGAAAGCUGUGGGCGAACAGAAUGAAUCUAUCAGAUGAGGGAAUCAAGUCCAGAAAAAAACCCCUUCUCUCUCCCAAGAUUGGCCAGAAGCCAGAAAGACCCUGAACUGUUGGUGAAAUUCUUCACUCCACUCCCACUCCCAAAAUAUAUGGAGGAGCUCUGAGGUGACCGCAUAUUUCUUAAGAAACCCUCUUUACUUUUUUUUUUUUCUUUUUGAGAUGGAGUCUCGCUGUCGCCCAGGCCGAAGUGCAGUGGCGCGAUCUCAGCUCACUGCAAUGAGCUCUGCCUCCUGGGUUCACGCCAUUCUCCUGCCUCAGCCUCCCAAGUAGCUGAGACUACAGGUGCCCACCACCACGCUUGGCUCAUUUUUU
rnacentral:lncRNA from 10 species